AGCUGACCGGCGACGUCAUCGUCAGGCGCAAUUGUCUCACCGUGACACGCAUGGUGUGUGGCCAGGCCGGAGCAGUGCGUACCACCCAGGUGUUUCCACGUGUUUCUGCCCGAGCCACGGCCCUCCGGUGAUGUCAUCCACCGACGCAGUGAAGGCUCCGUAACACGCAUGGAUGGACGCCCGGCCGGCUCAGCGCCGGAACCUACACACCCCUUUAAAGUCAGAGACAGAGUCGUGGUGAAGGUGCUCCCCAGGAACAAGAGCCCAGGAGACUUCACCUAUGGUCCAGAGACAGAGGUCGUAGCAGUUACCCGAACAGCAGUCCUGACAGAGGAAAGUCCUGCCUGGAUCCAUGCAUCCCGAGUAAAAAAGGUUCCUAGACCAGACCUAGAGAGGGAAGCAAGUGAUUCCAGUGAGGUACGAACCGGGGCAGACAGCCCUGACCUCCCACCUAGCGAAGAAAGAAGAACAGAAGAAGAUGAGGAACCUGUCCCCUAUCUUUAUCCUGGGGACUACCUUGAUAGCCCUACUGGCCCUCACUCACCACACAAUAUGUGAGGUUGAUAUUACACACACUAAUGGGAUCCCCACCUUGUGGUAUAAUUCCUCUAACACACACGUAGCCACAUAUAUCCUUGACUAUUUUAUGUUAUAUACAACAAAGAAGGAAAUCAGGAAUGUCUGAGACAGUAUAUAUUUGUGUUACUGACGAAUGGUACUAUGACAUUAGAUAUUAUGGAUCUAAUUGUAAUUCCUGGGAAUAUGUGGGGUGGAAUACAGGAGUAGAUUGGAAAUAUGGCCCAUCAUUUGCAAAAAAAAUAGAUGGAGCAAAUAUGGAGUACCCCUACUUUCUAGACUAUCCAUUCAUAAGAUGGAUGAAGGCCCAAAUUCAUACAGGUUUAGACUAAACAUAGUGAACCCUAGCAGAAGCGACAAUGAGACUUAUGUACUUGGUAUAUGGUGGCAAGCAGGGUACUAUAGUGCAAGGCAAAUGUUUUAUUUGUGGGACAUGUAUAAAAACCCAAAACAAACCUUUAAAGCCCCAUAUUGCCACUUCUAAAGAUAUGGUGGCUAUUACUAACCCUACCUUUGAAGACACCCUAGCUAUUGAAACUGGUUUCCCUGACAUUAAUUUUUGGUUGGAAUGGAUGAAGUAUAGUGCUAACAAACACAAUAAAAGCAACUGUUAUGUCUGUGGCAAAUCUAGGCCCCACCUAGGUACAGUGCCCCUUAAUAUACCCCUAGAACAGGAAAAUUGUUUUUUUUUCAGCCUUUUUAAUGACACCAAAACAAAUGACAGUCAGUGCGAAAUGUGGAAAAGGGAAUAUCCCAUAUUGUCAAAAAAUCCCAACCCAGGAAGCACCAUAACUAUAUAUCCUGGAAACUACACUUGUUAUACAUCUAACACCACCACAGGGAGAAAUUUAAAAACCUUCCCACCAGGGUAUUGUGCAAAUAAGCAUAUUCAUACUUGUAACUUUAAUUCUUGUAGGCAUUAUAGUUUAUUGUGUAAUCCCCUGUGGAAAGAAACUUACCUCCAAAGGCAUUGAUAAGGCCCUGAUGUACUAUGAUAUAACCACCAGUCCUGUCACCUCCUCUGAUAGUAAGGGACCCGACGAUUAUGUCCAAUAUCUCAAGAACUGGAGGAACAAGAAAGGAGCCUCACUCAAGAAUCAUGUCAUAUAAUAAUCAUGAUUCUAAGAGGGGAUUGAAGGGUUACCUCUUCUGUCUUUGUAAAUAUUACUUUUUAUAUGAUCAAUUUCCUUAUAAUAGUUACAGUGUAAAAGUGAAUAUUUCUAUUUCCCUAGUGAAGGGUUAAAACAUGCUAUAUGAACUCUUAUGUGUUUGCAUGGAUGCGUGCUGCCCUGUGCUAGGUGCCUUUGUCUCUCAUACAGAUACCAGGCCUGUGUGGGUCUGGCAUCCAAGGUCAGUUCCAUACCAGAUGAAACUCGUUCUUUCUACCCAAAUAUACUGUGUUACAAAAACUUUGUUAAAUGUUUGAGAAACUUGUAGAAAACCCAUAUAUGGACAUCCGCCUUUUUCUGUUCUGCCUGGUAACUAUUAACGAACCAAUGGGAGUGUAACGACAUGUCAGUUACACCCAUAUGCAUUGUCAUAUAUACUUUUGUUAACUUCAUAAUAAACAGUGUGAAUUUUUA